CGGCCGCGUCGACAGGAAUUGACGGGACCGCACAAGCGGUGGAGCAUGUGGUUUAAUUCGAAGCAACGCGAAGAACCUUACCAAAUCUUGACAUCGGAGUGACCGCUCUUUAAUCGGAGCUUUCCUUCGGGACACUCCAGACAGGUGGUGCAUGGUUGUCGUCAGCUCGUGUCGUGAGAUGUUGGGUUAACGUCCCGCAACGAGCGCAACCCUUAUCCUUAGUAGCCAGCGGUUCGGCCGGGCACUCUAGGGAGACUGCCAGGGAUAACCUGGAGGAAGGUGGGAUGACGUCAAAUCAUCAUCGCCCCUUAUGAGUUUGGGCUACACACGUGCUAACAAUGGACGUAAACAAAGGGAAGCGAACCCGUGGAGGGGAAGACAAAUCUACAAAAAUAACGUCUCAGUUCGGAUUGUAGUCUGACAACUCGACUACAUGAAGCUGGAAUCGCUAAGUAAUCGCGAAUCAGCAUGUCGCGGUGAAUACGUUCCGGGUCUUGGUCGACGCGGCC
rnacentral:rRNA from 1 species